UNGCCAAGGAUGAAUUGAUUAGCUUAUCUAC
rnacentral:piRNA from 1 species